AGUAAGAUGCCUGAUAAAAGGGUUAUUUUGAUAGAAUAAAUUAAGUAAAUUUUUACUCUUACUG
rnacentral:tRNA from 1 species